GCAGACAGUGUGGAUAAAGUAGCAGGGGAUUUCACAAAGGAAAUAUUAUUGGCCAGACUUGUCGGAAUGUACACAGAAUAAAAUAUUACUUGAAAACAGCAUAUAAUCUACUGCCAGUAUCACCUUAUUUGUGAAAUGGGAGCCACAAGAAUAUGAGAAUUGAAGCCAAAUCAGAGAGAGAUCUACUACAAGCAUCGUAGCAGAGCUGGAGGCAAAUGUGACUGGAGAUACAAUGGGAAAUCCAAUAAGUUUCAGCUUCCUGACUGGUCGAGGAGUUGCCAAAGUAUCCGAUCCCUCCCUCAUUUCCAAGGCUGCACAGCUCUGAUGGAACUCCCUCACUGGCCACUGCCUCAAAUCUACUGUUCCUGGUGGAUUUCAGAAUGCAAGGCACCGAAGUUAUUGCUGACCCAGUUCUCACUAGCAUAGGUGGGGUCAGGGACUCCCUGCAGGUUUUAAGUGUGUGUGUGGCAGAGGGGAGGCAGAGCCUUCAAGAGAAAUCUGCCUCCUCCUCACAUUGGACCCCGGGCUCAGCAAAGACCCAAACAGAAGUUCCAAGGUCUUAAUCUAGUGUAAUAACGUGGGUUAAGGAUUACACAAAUAGGGUAACAUUCACCUUUUCCCUGCAGCUUGGAACUGCCUCUGGAGAGUCUCUUAGUUCAUCUCUCCCACUUUGAGACAACAAUUGAAAAGGUUUCCUCUUCAGAAGUGUGUGCGUUAAUUGUUCUUGGGCCAUAUGUCAGACAUUUCAUUUAAUGAUGCCAAAGAGCAUGUCUCCACUGCAAAAAAAAAAAAAACCAAGUCCCGCAGCAGCAAGUCUCAGAUCCCAGGUCAACUGACUUGGGUGUGUGGGGCUCACUCUACAGGUCUGACAAUAGCCGUGUCAACAUUUGAGCUCAGGCUCUGAGACCUUCCCCCACAGCCAGGCUCUGAAACCCAGCAUUAGGGGAUGGUCUCAGAGCUUGGCUCCAGUCCGAGCCCAAACGUCUACAACUGCUAUUUUCAGCCCUGUAGCCUGAGUUAGUUGACCCAGGCUCUGAGGCUUAAUGACUCGGGUCUUUUUUUUGCAGCGUAGACAUUUUGUAUUGUCACCAAGCAUUGGAUUGUUUUUUAUAUUUUGUGCUUUCUAAUAUUUUAAUUGUUAUGCUGAUUUUAACUAUCAAAAAAGGAGUGAAGACUCAACAUUAUACAGCUCUUACACGGCUUGGCAUGAAUAUAUGUCUGAAUAAAGUGUUUGUCCUUAAUGGCCUGGAAAUCUGAAUAAAAAUUGUACUGAUUUUACCAUUAACCAAUAAAAAGUUUAAAAUCACUUAAGAAAUGAA